GAUGAACGCUGACAGAAUGCUUAACACAUGCAAGUCAACUGUGGCGGACGGGUGAGUCACGCGUAAAGAACUUGCCUCACAGUUAGGGACAACAUUUGGAAACGAAUGCUAAUACCUGAUACUGUGAGAGAGUUUUGCGUCCCAUUAGCUAGUUGGAGAGGUAACGGCUCACCAAGGCGAUGAGUGGGAGCCGGCCUGAGAGGGUGAUCGGCCACAAGGGGACUGAGACGCUGCCCUUACUCCUACGGGAGGCAGCAGUGGGGAAUAUUGGACAAUGGACCAAAGUCUGAUCCAGCAAUUCUGUGUGCACGAUGAAGUUUUCGGAAUGUAAAGUGCUUUCAGUUGGGAAGCGGUACCAACAGAAGAAGUGACGGCUAAAUACGUGCCAGCAGCCGCGGUAAUAC
rnacentral:rRNA from 1 species